GCUUGUCCAUGUAUAUGUGUGAUGUGCUUGUGUGUAUCUGCCAGACUGUAAUGGCGCCAGGCCCUCUAGCUACAGGCUCCAAUCCAAAUGAGAUCUGAGGAACUGUAUGUCAAGUCAGCUAUUCAUCAAACAUAACAGCAGUAAGAUGCAAGAUUGAAUGGAUAUUCUACAGGGGGAAGCUGGCGUAACGGCUGCGAGGCAACUGGCAGUUUGAAAUGACAUUCACGGCGGUGCAGCGGAUAUUGUGCAGUCUUUAAUGUAAAUGGAACAAGCUUCAUAUAGCAGGAGUGUUCCGCACACAGCUUUCACAUCUGCUGUCACUGAAAGCAACCCGUGCGGCAUCACCGGUCAAUCUGGAAACGCAUUCAUUGGUUCGGACGUGUGUGAACUCGGGAGGAGACGACAGCAGAGACAUCAAUAGAGUUGAUGCAUUUAUUUGAUAAUGCACGUACCUUGAACAACAUCUAUGAACUGCAGUUUCUUUCUUGAUUACCCAUGAUUAUUAUGGAAG